rnacentral:rRNA from 1 species
UGCAGUCGAGCGGAACGAGUUAUCUGAACCUUCGGGGGACGAUAACGGCGUCGAGCGGCGGACGGGUGAGUAAUGCCUAGGAAAUUGCCCUGAUGUGGGGGAUAACCAUUGGAAACGAUGGCUAAUACCGCAUAACACCUUCGGGUCAAAGAGGGGGACCUUCGGGCCUCUCGCGUCAGGAUAUGCCUAGGUGGGAUUAGCUAGUUGGUGAGGUAAUGGCUCACCAAGGCGACGAUCCCUAGCUGGUCUGAGAGGAUGAUCAGCCACACUGGAACUGAGACACGGUCCAGACUCCUACGGGAGGCAGCAGUGGGGAAUAUUGCACAAUGGGCGCAAGCCUGAUGCAGCCAUGCCGCGUGUGUGAAGAAGGCCUUCGGGUUGUAAAGCACUUUCAGUCGUGAGGAAGGUAGUGUAGUUAAUAGCUGCAUUAUUUGACGUUAGCGACAGAAGAAGCACCGGCUAACUCCGUGCCAGCAGCCGCGGUAAUACGGAGGGUGCGAGCGUUAAUCGGAAUUACUGGGCGUAAAGCGCAUGCAGGUGGUUUGUUAAGUCAGAUGUGAAAGCCCGGGGCUCAACCUCGGAAUAGCAUUUGAAACUGGCAGACUAGAGUACUGUAGAGGGGGGUAGAAUUUCAGUGUAGCGGUGAAAUGCGUA